AGUGAACGCUGGCGGUAGGCCUAACACGUGCAAGUCGAACGGCAGCACAGUAAGAGCUUGCUCUUACGGGUGGCGAGUGGCGGACGGGUGAGGAAUACAUCUGAAUCUACUUUUUCGUGGGGGAUAACGUAGGGAAAUUUAGGUUAUAACGGCAUACGACCUACGGGUGAAAGAAGGGGAUUUUCGGACUUUGCGCGAUUGAAUGGGCCGAUGUCGGAUUGGCUAGUUGGCGGGGUAAAGGCCCACAAAGGCGACGAUCCGUAGCUGGUCUGAGAGGAUGAUCAGCCACACUGGAACUGAGACACGGUCCAGACUCCUACGGGAGGCAGCAGUGGGGAAUAUUGGACAAUGGGCGCAAGCCUGAUCCAGCCAUACCGCGUGGGUGAAGAAGGCCUUCGGGUUGUAAAGCCCUUUUGUUGGGAAAGAAAAGCAGCAGGUUAAUACCCCGCUGUUCUGACGGUACCCAAAGAAUAAGCACCGGCUAACUUCGUG
rnacentral:rRNA from 1 species